rnacentral:rRNA from 1 species
AGUGAACGCUGGCGGUAGGCCUAACACAUGCAAGUCGAACGGCAGCACAGUAAGAGCUUGCUCUUACGGGUGGCGAGUGGCGGACGGGUGAGGAAUACAUCGGAAUCUACUUUUUCGUGGGGGAUAACGUAGGGAAACUUACGCUAAUACCGCAUACGACCUACGGGUGAAAGCAGGGGAUCUUCGGACCUUGCGCGAUUGAAUGAGCCGAUGUCGGAUUAGCUAGUUGGCGGGGUAAAGGCCCACCAAGGCGACGAUCCGUAGCUGGUCUGAGAGGAUGAUCAGUCACACUGGAACUGAGACACGGUCCAGACUCCUACGGGAGGCAGCAGUGGGGAAUAUUGGACAAUGGGCGCAAGCCUGAUCCAGCCAUACCGCGUGGGUGAAGAAGGCCUUCGGGUUGUAAAGCCCUUUUGUUGGGAAAGAAAAGCAGCAGGUUAAUACCCCGCUGUUCUGACGGUACCCAAAGAAUAAGCACCGGCUAACUUCGU